AACGAACGCUGGCGGCAGGCCUAACACAUGCAAGUCGAACGAGUAAGAGCCGUAGCAAUACGGAGUUCUGCUAGUGGCGCACGGGUGAGUAACGCGUGGGAACGUGCCUUGGAGUUCGGGAUAACAGUUGGAAACGACUGCUAAUACCGAAUAUUCCCUCAGGGGAAAGAUUUAUCGCUCCAAGAUCGGCCCGCGUAAGAUUAGGUAGUUGGUGGGGUAAUGGCCUACCAAGCCUACGAUCUUUAGCUGGUCUGAGAGGACGACCAGCCACACUGGAACUGAGACACGGUCCAGACUCCUACGGGAGGCAGCAGUGGGGAAUAUUGGACAAUGGGCGAAAGCCUGAUCCAGCCAUGCCGCGUGAAUGAUGAAGGCCUUAGGGUUGUAAAAUUCUUUUGCAGGGGAAGGAUAAUGACGGUACCCUGCGAAUAAGCUCCGGCUAACUUCGUGCCAGCAGCCGCGGUAAU
rnacentral:rRNA from 1 species